AUUGAACGCUGGCGGCAUGCCUUACACAUGCAAGUCGAACGGUAACGCGGGGCAACCUGGCGACGAGUGGCGAACGGGUGAGUAACGCAUCGGAACGUGCCCAGUAGUGGGGGAUAGCCCGGCGAAAGCCGGAUUAAUACCGCAUACGACCUACGGGUGAAAGGGGGGGAUCGCAAGACCUCUCGCUAUUGGAGCGGCCGAUGUCAGACUAGGUAGUUGGUGGGGUAAAGGCCUACCAAGCCGACGAUCUGUAGCUGGUCUGAGAGGACGACCAGCCACACUGGGACUGAGACACGGCCCAGACUCCUACGGGAGGCAGCAGUGGGGAAUUUUGGACAAUGGGCGAAAGCCUGAUCCAGCCAUGCCGCGUGCGGGAAGAAGGCCUUCGGGUUGUAAACCGCUUUUGUCAGGGAAGAAAUCUUCUGGGUUAAUAUCUCGGGAGGAUGACGGUACCUGAAGAAUAAGCACCGGCUAACUACGUGCCAGCAGCCGCCGUAA
rnacentral:rRNA from 1 species